ensembl:lncRNA
GGGGUAUUGUCACAGACAGCCGUCUAAACGUCCCGGGGGCAACUCCCAUUGAAAUGGUAGAGUUGGUACUUAGUGUUUGCCAUGAUUCUGGCCUGCACUCCCCUCAGCAUGGCGGCGUGGGUAUACUGUUCCCCAUAGCGACCCCUAGAGGACGCAGUUCGAAGUUCCCUUGAAAGGGAACGUCUCAGGGAACCAUAGUUACAUUCGUAACCUGAGACGUUCACCUUCGGAACACAAUUUAAGAUAUUUCUGAUGAAAUCUGAGAGCUUUCAGACCCUCCCAUCGACAACAAGGGUCCUUACACGAUCAAGACACAGAAAAGUACCAAGGUCAGCGCCGGCGCCGCCACACAUUUGCAUCAUGGUACUGUCGUGAACGUGUGUCCACAGGUGAUGCAGUACAGACGAAAAAUGUGGAAUAAAGUAAUUAUUUUUGUUUUCUUUGUCGAUCAUCUUGGUACUUUUCUGUGUCUUGAUCGUGUAAGGACCCUUGUUGUCGAUGGGAGGGUCUGAAAGCUGUGUUUCGAAGAUGAAUGAAGGUCUUACGGGUUUUGGAACGACAUGAGGGUGAGUAAUUAAUGACAGAAUUUUCAUUUUUGGGUGAACUACAACUUUAACUCCUCAAAAUUAGUUUUUUUGUUAUAAUGUAUAUAGGUUGGUUCAAUGAUGUUAAAGACUUGAAUCAAACCAGUUAAUUUAGAUGUUACUGUUUUUAGGUUACUAUUUUUUCAUAUUUUCAGUGUAAAAGUGGAUAAUAUCUGGGGACUUUAACUGUAAUUCAUUCCAUGUUAAUUUAAUUGUGAUACUGCAAUAAUAAUAAUAAUAAUAAUAAACGUAUUUGAUUUCCAUCUUUUAACUUAUAAGUUUUAUGCAAAAUGUAUUGUCAAGUAGGAAUGACCCAGGUAGUACUUUAUUGGCUACAAAGCAGUAAUCAAGCGAGAAUCACCAAUUCCCGGAUUUAUGUAAUCUACUCAGAAGCCAAGAUUUCUGCUAUUUCCAUCAGGAUAUGUGCACAUGUAUUUCUAGGUUCACUAAACUGAACUUUCAGCAACCCAUAGUUCAUCUGCUCCUUAACUGUCUAGUCAUCUCAUACUCCUGUAAGAACAGAAGACUUUCUAGAGUCUGUUCUUAAUGUAUGCCUAAAUGGAUGUGUAAAAUCGACCAACUUUGUUACAUAGAGAAUGUUUCUGGGAAUGGUUGUUGUAUCGUAGUGCAUCCCUCUAGUUCACAAGUUUUACCCAUCUGCAGGUCCUCAGUUGAUCUCUAUGUAUGAUAUAAGCACUCAACUCAUGACCUGUUAAUGUUAAUGAUAAUCUUGCCUAAUACAUUGUCUUAGUGCAAUGUUUAGUUCAGUUUUUGGAGUUUACAGAAGUGAUUAUUUAUCUAUGACUUGAUUUUGGUUAUUUAGCUUGUUUACUUGGGCCCCACGUUUGUCCCGCCACUGUCACGUGUUGGGGGGACACUCCUACUACUAAUGCGGUAUUGUCUUAGCUCUAACUCUCAUUGCUAAUGCAUGAUAAUGAGUAAUUAGUAAGACUGAUGUUUCACUGCCCUUGAUAGAACUUAAAAAAAAAUCUUUGAUCUUUAUUGGACUGUUACAAGUUGUAUAGUGAGUGAAACUGUACCCUAACCACUGUAUUAUGUCCUUGUUAUAUUAAAUGCUCUAUGACAAGCUUAUAGCAUACACAUAUGGAGAUAUUUGGUAGAUUUAUAUUGUGUAAUAUUGUGAUAGCAUGUACAUAAAAAUACCUCCUCUGCAAUAAAUAUUUCUACAAAAACAAUUAUGUGUAGACUUAAUGAAAUCAAAAUGAAUGAAAAAAAGUUUUUGGUA